CAUCUGGUAUAAUUGGUAUGUUUACAAACUUUUACUUUUCAAUAUGUUAAUGCAUUUCUUGGCAUUUCUUCACAAUAUUUAUUUUUAUUUCAACUUUGUUAACCUUUAGUUACAUUUUCAGCUGCUACAAGUGAGCUUACCUAUCAUGCCUAUAGAAGAUAUAGGCACCAGCACCCUGAACGGAUUAGCAAUCGGUCAUUUUUGUGAUGGGUCUGGUUAGGAGGGAAUGAUGGUGAAUCAUUCAGCUAAGCCUAUCAUCCUCCUAAUAGGGUUGCUGGGAGCUACAGCAGAAGAGGAAGCCGUGGAGGAGGUCGUGGGGAAAGGUGGAAUGGUUCCGACUUUGUCGUGAAUGGUGGCAUACACUAUUACUAGACAAAUAUUGAAAAUUUUUCAAAUUAGUUUAUAUGGUUUGGUGUGCCUACAGUUAUGGCUUAGUCACUAAGUUACGAAAACGAAAUACACUAACAAUAUUCAGACAUGUGUUUAAGAAACAAUUUGGCUGGCCAAAAGAAGGAAAUGUUGAGUUUUAAGAGUUAGUUUGUGUUGAUUUAUGAUUAACAACAGAAAAUACAUUACUUCAACAAAUUUUAGUUUUUUACACAUAAAAGUUAUGAAAAAUAUGAAAUGAUUUAUCUAAAUCUAAAUCUGCUGUGAAAUAAAUUUAAUAUAUAAUCAGGAAAUGUAGCUCUAAGACAACAUGAAAUUCAACAAUAAAUUUUGGUCCAUGAUAAUUGAAAUACGUUAUGUUUGACUAAUCAUGAAUAUAACUAUUAUAUAUAUUAAUAUUCCCUGCAAGAUGCCUGUUAAAAAGAAAAACUGAAGAAACUUCAAAACUAGAUGAUGGCAACUGAAGAAGCCUCUACUUCAAUCUGGCUAUUGUUAUAACACGUAUAUCGGUUUAAUACUGUAUCGAGUUAGCUUGUGAUUUGUACGUGUGUUUUUAUUUGCCUAGUUUUGUUAGUUAUAUGCAAGAUAUGACAUGGUAUGGCACACUGCAUGUGUAAAAGUGGAUGAAAGCACUAAAGAAGCGUAACGAUAAACUUUAUGGUGGCGAUAUGAGAGAACUAAUGUGGCAGUGGUUAUGGUGGUGAUAUGAGAAAACUAAUGUGGCAGUAUAUUACUAUCGUAGAACAGUUUUGCAUCAAAUCAUUGAAUAAUAUUAGUUUUUGCUUUGCUUUUUUUUUUUUAAGUUGCUUAAAAUAUUAUGAAAUUCAAA